rnacentral:antisense_RNA from 1 species
GCACAUACCACUGAACACCUGGUUCUUACGUGAGAGGGCACACUGGGGUCAGCUACAGUCUAUGGCGGUUCAACCAAAAGCACAAUAAAUAAAAUGUGGUCCUUUUAUCAGAUUCUGGA